AAAGAAUUAGUUAAAUAUAACAUUAGAAUGUCAAACUAAAAUUAUUAGUCAAAGCUAAUAUUCUUUU
rnacentral:tRNA from 1 species